GGAAGAGCAACGUCCCCGGUGGGGCGCCCGGACUUCGGCGGGUGUCUGGCCCUCCGGUGGGUUCGACUCCUUCCGCUUCCGCCA
rnacentral:tRNA from 1 species